rnacentral:rRNA from 1 species
GAACGCUAGCUACAGGCUUAACACAUGCAAGUCGAGGGGCAGCGUUGGAGUAGCAAUACUCAGAUGGCGACCGGCGCACGGGUGAGUAACACGUAUCCAACCUGCCGCUUACUCGGGGAUAGCCUUUCGAAAGAAAGAUUAAUACCCGAUGGUAUAAAGAGUUCGCAUGUUCUCUUUAUUAAAGAAUUUCGGUAAGCGAUGGGGAUGCGUUCCAUUAGAUAGUUGGCGGGGUAACGGCCCACCAAGUCUACGAUGGAUAGGGGUUCUGAGAGGAAGGUCCCCCACAUUGGAACUGAGACACGGUCCAAACUCCUACGGGAGGCAGCAGUGAGGAAUAUUGGUCAAUGGACGAGAGUCUGAACCAGCCAAAAGUAGCGUGAAGGAUGACUGCCCUAUGGGUUGUAAACUUCUUUUAUAAGGGAAUAAAGUGAGGGACGUGUCCCUUUUUGUAUGUACCUUAUGAAUAAGGAUCGGCUAACUCCGUGCCAGCCGCCGC